UAUCUCUGUAGAGUCUGCAUAUCAAUAAGCGGAGGAAAAGAAACUAACUAGGAUUCCCUCAGUAACGGCGAGUGAAGCGGGAAGAGCUCAAAUUUGAAAUCUUCAAGGUUUUACCUUGACGAAUUGUAGUUUAAAGAAGUGUUUUCUGUUGGUGUUUUGGUAAAAGUUCUUUGGAAUAGGACAUCAUAGAGGGUGAGAAUCCCGUAUUUGACCAGUUACUUUCCAGCUGUUGUGAUACACUUUCAAAGAGUCGGAUUGUUUGGGAAUGCAGUCCAAAAUGGGUGGUAAAUUUCAUCUAAAGCUAAAUAUUGGCGAGAGACCGAUAGCGAACAAGUACCGUGAGGGAAAGAUGAAAAGAACUUUGAAAAGAGAGUUAAACAGUACGUGAAAUUGUCAAAAGGGAAGCGUUUGACACCAGUGUUGUUUUCUCGAAAAUCAAUUAAAAAAAGUUGGAUUUUGUAUUGUUAAGACCUUAUCAGCUUACUGUACUCUUUUCUUGCUUUUUUUAAUGCACUUUUCGUUUAACAAGUCAACAUCAAUUUCUUUUGUUGUAAAAGAGUCAUUGGAAGGUGGCUUUCACUUCGGUGAAAGUGUUUAUAGCCUUUGGCUUCUGCAAUCGGAGAGGUUGAGGUCUGCAGCGUAGAUCCUUCGGGGCUAGAUACGUAGAUGCUAAGUUAUAGUUUUUUAUAGACAACUUGUUGACUAUAAUUAAUCAUGUAGCUUACUCGUUUGCGCUAUUUUACCUACGCUUAGGAUGUUGACGAUCAGCUGAGCGCG
rnacentral:rRNA from 1 species